GACUGCCCACGGGAGGCAGCAGUGAGGAAUAUUGGUCAAUGGGCGCGAGCCUGAACCAGCCAAGCCGCGUGAGGGAAGACGGUCCUAUGGAUUGUAAACCUCUUUUGUCGGGGAGCAAAAGACGCCACGCGUGGCGUUCCGAGAGUACCCGAAGAAAAAGCAUCGGCUAACUCCGUGCCAGCAGCCGCGGUAAUACGGAGGAUGCGAGCGUUAUCCGGAUUUAUUGGGUUUAAAG
rnacentral:rRNA from 1 species